GUCCAAGAAAAAAGCAUGGUCAGAAUGCCACAUAUACCAUCUAGCGGCAAAAUAAUGCAUAUGGCAAUAAAACUUCUAUAUUCCUUCGCUAGCUGGCGAAAAAAUGCAAGUAAUUUAAAAUCAUUUUCACGCCCACAGUCCCGCGUGAAAUCGGAAAAUACGAAAAACUAGAAACUAGAUCUGGAAAAUGCGGCGAUGACAUGCAACCGAAUCAGAGGUACUGACGAGACCUUACACGAAAAAUUACUUUGAUUUCGAAAAGCGUGGACUUCUUCUACAUCAAUUAUUUCCCCAGAAAAUUAAGGACAAUGCAUAAUAUUCAUCUCGAGUGUGAAAGUAACCAUUGGAUUACAGGUGUUGAACAGGAGGCGGAAACACAUUGUACGAUUCGAAACAAAAGAAGAAGAACACUCUCUUCUCAAACCGCAAAGAGAGAAAAGACAUCCAUAGCUGGCAAUUGUUUUUACAUUCACGGAUGCUUGCGAUGUUGUAGAGACCGAGGAUGCGGUGUAGGGGGGAAAAGAAGAACAAAAAGAGUGAUGGCACAGGUGAAAGUCAUCUAUUCAUUUCAACCUGAAGAUUAGGAUUUUUCUGUUUCAAUUCCAAAAUUAGUGGAUGAUUGCCUGAAAGAAAGUUCUCAAAUAGUUGCGGUACCCAUUUAUUUUGGUUCUCAUGAAUUUGAAAUUUAAUGAUCUCGCAAGUCGGGCACAUGUCUCCAUAUUUCCAUUGACGACAUAUCAGCUGGACUUUCUCGCUUCCAUCACAUCGAAAUAAGUGUCCCUGAAAAUGAUUAAUGGACUACGUGCAUAAUAUACAGUUCACUUUCCAGGCACGAAAGAAUCGGCGGACCUUGUCGACAUGCACCGCUGACCAAAAGCUUUUGGGGAAAAAAAAAAAAAAAAUCUGAAUAAUGAAAACAAAAACCGGCGAAAGUUUGACGAGAUUCUAAUCGAUGCGACCGUGAGCCCCUUUUCGGGGAAAAAAAAAACAAAACACGCGUGACUCUCCUCCCGCUACAUAGAAGAUGAGCUACCCCUUAGGGGUUGUCCCUCGCAGCUGGAGUAUACGUGUGUGCUGACCCCCUGGACAUGCGGGGCACUUGUACAGCGAUGGUUAUCGCAUGUUUAAAAAUAUAUACGAAACGACAACAAGAGAAAUGCAAUAACGAAAGGAGAGAUGGAAAAAUCCAAAUGAAUCGUGACAAGCGGCGACCCUUGUGUUCCAUAGGGUCCCUGGAAUUGUCCAGGAUUGAUUUCUAGUAUUCCUUUUUUUUUUUUUUUUAAACAACGUUGGGUUUGGCGGUGUUUACAAAUGCAGUCAAAUUCGCAGUUUUACCUGACGAGAAAGUAUAACCAAUGCGGAAUAGCGGAUGAAUAAUGGUAUAUAGACAAAUUUAUUCUGCUAUUGAAAAUAUACUCAAACGU